rnacentral:rRNA from 1 species
UACAGAGGGUGCAAGCGUUGUUCGGAAUUACUGGCGUAAAGCGCGUGUAGGCGGUCUUUCAAGUCCUGUGUGAAAGCCCUGGGCUCAACCCAGGAAGUGCGCAGGAUACUGAUUGACUGGAGUGGCGGAGAGGAUGGCGGAAUUCCCGGUGUAGAGGUGAAAUUCGUAGAUAUCGGGAGGAACACCUGUGGCGAAGGCGGCCAUCUGGACGUUCACUGACGCUGAGACGCGAAAGCGUGGGUAGCAAACAGG